rnacentral:rRNA from 1 species
UACGGAGGGAGCUAGCGUUGUUCGGAAUUACUGGGCGUAAAGCGCGCGUAGGCGGCUUUGUAAGUUAGAGGUGAAAGCCCGGGGCUCAACUCCGGAACUGCCUUUAAGACUGCAUCGCUUGAAUCCGGGAGAGGUGAGUGGAAUUCCGAGUGUAGAGGUGAAAUUCGUAGAUAUUCGGAAGAACACCAGUGGCGAAGGCGGCUAUCUGGACGGACACUGACGCUGAGACGCGAAAGCGUGGGGAGCAAACAGGAUUAGAACUACCGUAGUCAAG